rnacentral:snRNA from 1 species
GUGCUUGCUUCAGCAGCACAUGUACUAAAAUUGAAACGAUGCAGAGAAGAUUAGCAUGCCCCUGUACAAGGAUGCCAUGCAAAUUCGUGAAGCAUUCCAUAUUUUU